GACGAACGCUGGCGGCGUGCCUAAUACAUGCAAGUAGAACGCAGUUGCGAACGGGUGAGUAACGCGUAGGUAACUGCCUGGUAGCGGGGAUAACUAUUGGAAACGAUAGCUAAUACCGCAUACUACCAGAUGGACCUGCGUUGUAUUAGCUAGUUGGUUAGGUAACGGCGCACCAAGGCAACGAGACAUAGCCGACCGGGGGUGGUGAUCGGCCGGAGUGGGACGGGGAAAGGGCCCAGAGUCCUACGGGAGGCAGCAGUAGGGAAUCUGCGGCAAGGGGGGGAACCCUGGCCGAGCAAGGCCGCGUGAGUGAAGAAGAUUUUCGGGUCGUAGAGCUCUGUUGUUAAGGAAGCGGUACUUAACCAGAAAGGGACGGCUAACUACGUGCCAGCAGCCGCGGUAAUUC
rnacentral:rRNA from 1 species